rnacentral:lncRNA from 1 species
CUCUGGGCCACAGUGAGAUUAGUGGGAGCAUCUUCUGUAACAACGGCACUUUGUCUUCACAGACCACAAGCAGUGGGGGGCCAUGUCCCCCAGGACACUACUGCACAGUGGGGAGCAGCGGAGCACAGCCAUGCCCUGCAGGGAGCUACAGCCCAUUCUGGGGCAUGGUGCAGUGUUUGGAGUGCCCAGAAGGCUUUUACUGUAAGGUUGGUUCCAGCAAUUACACGGACUGUCCCGCAGGUGAGUGUGUCUGCAGUUACAUCAUUGGGAAUGUGGGGAACAGUGUCAUAAGGGCACUAGCAGCUCUUUGUAAGGUUCAGCACUAAGGUAAAGCACUGUCGGCUUCACUGAAUGCUUCCACCUUGGCUGGAGGUCCUGUAUAAUACUGAUGAGUCACACCAUGGACUGAUUGACAUAUCCUGGGAUCAGUUCUUUUGGUAAAAUUGAUGGAGAGGGCACCCCAGCACCCUUGCCAACAAUUUGAGACAUUGCAAGCAUCUCUUAACUGUUAGGAAAACUGUCGUCUCCCUCCUAGGACAUUACUGCCCAAGGAAUACGGAGUUUGCCACACAGUAUCCCUGUCCACCAGGAACCUACAGUGAGGACUUAAACACGAGGGAUGCCUCCAAGUGCCAGCUGUGUCCCCCUGGAAAAGUCUGCUCCAAAUCAGGCUUGACGAGUCCUGAUGGACCAUGCACACCUGGAUGGUUUUGUCCACCCGGAUCAGCAUCAGGCGAGCCAAUAUCCCUAGGGUCAGAAGCUUCACCUCGCGGGUCCUUCAGGCUAUGCCAAGCAGGAACGUUUUGUCCUGGUGGUUCAUCUCUUCCUAUUCCCUGUACCCCAGGCUCGUACUGUGCAUCUGCAGAGCUGGCUGUGCCAUCUGGUCCCUGUGAUGCUGGCUUUUACUGCACUAGGGGGUCCACGCUCCCCAACCCAACAGAUGGGGCAGUAGGAAAUAUUUGUCCUCCAGGCUACGUGUGUCCCCAAGGAAGUUCUUCUCCAUCUCCAUGUCCCCCAGGCUCUUUUUUGGCCCAUCAUGGUGGCCAAUCAGCACAAGAUUGCCGGCCCUGUUUAGCAGGAUGGUUCUGCUCCCACCGAGGUCAAAGUACACCAGAGGGGCGGUGUAAGGAAGGCUGGUUUUGCCCAGAGGGGUCUGUAUCAGGACUUAAUCCAGAUUAUAUAUGUCCUGUUGGCCACUAUUGCCCCACAGGCAGCCCAGAGCCCAAACCCUGUCCCUCUGGGAAAUACCAGGACCAGACUGGUCAAAGCCUGUGCAAGACGUGCCCAACAGGAAAGUUCUGUGGCCCAGAAGUCCAAAUCCAAGAUCACA